rnacentral:rRNA from 1 species
AACGAACGCUGGCGGCGCGCCUAAUACAUGCAAGUCGAGCGAGAAGGUGUAGCAAUACACUUGUAAAGCGGCGAACGGGUGAGGAAUACAUGGGUAAUCUACCAUCGAGUGGGGAAUAACCAGCCGAAAGGUUGGCUAAUACCGCGUACGCUUCCGAGUCUUCGGGCUUGGAAGGAAAGCCGCACUGUGAGUGCGGCGCUCUUUGAUGAGCUCAUGUCCUAUCAGCUUGUUGGUAGGGUAACGGCCUACCAAGGCUUUGACGGGUAGGCUGGUCUGAGAGGACGAUCAGCCACACUGGCACUGCGACACGGGCCGAGACUCCUACGGGAGGGCAGCAGUAAGGAA